AUUUGUUUGACUUCUUUAUUCUUUAGGCUGAAUAAUUAUGUAUGUCAUAUUUUAUGGGAUGAUACUGGCAUAAAUAUCUAAAAGUCAUCAUUUUUAUUACUUACUCUAAGCUAGAUAGGGUACUUUAUAUAUGGGACCACUGCUGCUUUCUGUUUUCUCUUAUCCGAAUGCUUAAACUUUCAUCUAACUAUGUCUUCAUGCAAUUUUGUUUAUGGUGUAGUAUCCAUCUACUCAUUUCUUCAUCCAAUUUUGGAAUCCCAGCUGAA
rnacentral:misc_RNA from 1 species